UUGAGGAACUGGCAGGAGUUUUGAGGAAGAUUUGUUACCAUCCAUUUUUUUGCUGCCUCUGAUGUGUUUAUGACCAGAGGUUCAGAUUGAGGACAAAUGAGAGGUGCAGAUUGGCUUUAGCAGAGAGGAUGUCUGGGAGUGGAGGGGCUGGACCCUAACCCCGUACGUGCACCCACAUCUGUUGGGGUUUGUGCUCCUCCAGGGACCUCCCCCUCCCCCCGGCGGAAGACGAUGCUCAGCAGUCUAACUUCCCUUGUGGGUCACACACCUCCCUAUUCUAGAAACCGAGCUAGAGUCACUUUCCGCAGGAAAGAAACACCGAUUUCUCCACUACAAUCCUGCAAAGGGUUUUGGAGGAUUCCAGUCCUGGUCACCGGGCCCUGCUACAGUUGGUGGCUACAGAGGAGAUGGACCUCCACUCAGCAGGACUUCAAGCAGGACAGAGUUCAGGACAACUGGCCAGCUUUCCCCUCUGGGAUAUUUCAAAAGCAACAAGUAUGGCAGGAGACACUCUGCUUCGUCAACUUGGUUACUUCCUGUGCUGUGGAUCAGAGAAGUUGUCCUGGAGAUGUCCUCCGACUGCAAGAGAAGUCAUCAUCUGUGUCCUGAGAAGUCAGCAAGCAUCCUUGGCUAAGCCUCAGAGAUGCAGCAGCCACAGCCAGGAGAAGUGUGCGGGCUUGCAGAAAAGUCCAGAAGCUGCAUUUCAUCAAGGCCAGGCUUGGGGUGAAGGCAGUGGGUUAUGUUGUGUGAGGGAAGGGUUAGAUCCCAUCAUUGUUUUAGUUAUUACAAUUUGAUGUUCCUUUCAUCAUGAUUUCUUUGCAUUAAUUUUGGAUUUUUAAAAAUAUUGCACUAAAGUAUUAUUUACCUUGA